UCUUGAAAUGCACCUUUCAACUUAUCCCAAUCACCAUUAUCUCCAUCCUCAUCACCAUCAUUACACAACAACAAUUCCCCGUGAUGCCACGUAGGCGUUCCAUUCUCAUACGCAUUACAUGUCAGCCUCCUCAACCCACUCCCGUCCAACUUCACCACAAACAAAUCCCCAUAUGGCUGAAACUGAUUCGGCAACCCCACCGGCUCUGCUGACACACCACCCAAAUUGGCCGUAAACAACAACCACUCACCGUCGCCACUAAAACAAACAUGAUUCAACCUCUCCCUCUCACCAUCCACACCUUUUCCAAUCUCAACUCUCCUCACACCACUCCCAUCAACAUUCACCACAUAAAUCCCAAAAACUUCACUAUUUUUAGCAUCAUGCCUAUUCGAUGAAAACGCUAUCAAAUCACCUUUUGGUGACCAGCACGGCAUUGUAUCAAUCCAUUCACCUUCUGUUAACCUCCUCAAACCCCCAUCUACCUCCUCUCCAUUAACUGCAUCAACUAUAUAUAAAUUUUUAAACCCGGUCCUACCAGACCGGAACACUAUAAAUUUUCCAUCAGGUGAACACGAUGGAAACGCAUUGUUUCCACUAUCAUAUUUUGUAAGAAUCUUUAACGUAAACGGAAUCUCUUCACGAUCUUUACUGAGAUGAUCCGGUUCAAACUCGAUCCUUGCAAUUUGAACCGUUUUGGUAACAGACUCGAAAAUUGGACCGAUUGAAGUGUAAAUAACAUUCUUCUCUGUUGGACUCCAGGAGUUUCCAAAACAUGUUCUUCCUUUCAAUAAACUCCACCGUUUUGAACCGUUGGAUCUUAUGAUCUUAACGCCACCGUUAAGAUUGCCGUCGAGUUCAUGAUUAAACGCGAUGAAAUCACCGUCCGGUGAGAAACUCGGAAACGAACCGUUCAAUCUUAGCAAGCGUAUGUCAUCAACCGGAGAUUUCACCUGGUCGAGAUGUGGAUAGGUUGACUCACCCUGAACUGACUCGCCUCUGAACCGGUGGUAACCAAUGUAACAAGAAUCAGGUGAAACAAAUGGAUUAUAGUGAUGAAAAUCAGGAUUUACUGAAUAUGUUAUUUUCUGAAACGUUUUCGUUUCGAGAUCGAAUAUUUCGAUAUGGCGGUAAUCACUUUCUUUCCGACGAGUUGCGACGGCGAUGCGGUUGCUAUUUUGAAUUGCGGCGGGAGUGAAACAGUGUAAUCCCGGUGGAGUGAUACGAAUAGGUGAGGAUUGAAUUCCGGUAAGAUUAGAAUCCUUUAAAUCGGCUCGGAAAAUGCUCCACCAACCGUCAUCGGCGAUUCUGUGGAAGAACACCGUUGAAUCUCCCAACCACGUCGGCCAGCCACCGCGUUCAGCAACCACAACACGAUUCUCCGGCACAGACUCUUCAAACACAACGAUAUCCGUUUUGAGUUCACGAAAAUCGCCAUCCCAGUUUCGAGAACCGUAGGAAGCAACAGCGAUUAAGUUUCCGGUUAGAGAAACAGCAGGACUAUAAUCAACAACACCGUGAGGUGUCAGCCUAGUUAAAGUUCCGGUGCCAUCGACGGCGGUGGAGUAAACAGCAGAAGCGCUUUUGAAAAGCGCGUUUGGUUGAUCGUGCGUUGAAGAGAAAUAGAUUUUACUGUUUUUAAUUAUUGGACAGUCUUGAAAGAGUGUGUUGUUUGGAAGAGAAGGUAGAAGAAGUUCAGGUUUAUUUUCGGACCGGGUUAAGUAAAACCGGGGUGAACCGGUUCGUUCUGAGACGAAUACGAUGGUUUGAUGAUCAUUGGUGAAUUGUGCAUUGAAGUUAACUGAGAUGCCGUCGGUGAGACGGUGGUCGUUGUGGUUGUUGUUGAGGUGUGUGUAGAAAACAUCGAAACCGUAUUGGGUUCUUCCUACGGUGUUGAAAACGAUGGUUCCUGAUGGUGGAUUCAUUGUAGUAUUGUAGUCGAGUGAUAGUGAAAGUGGAGUGUUUGGUAAAUGGAUAAGGAUUUGGUGAUGAGAAUGUGGCAGAUCGUAAGUGUAUAAAAAGGAGAAAAAUGAUUCUCUAAUUUUUAGUUUUCACAUUAGAAAUGAAAAAGUGUGUAUAUUAGAUAUGAUACAAAUAUGCAUUUGUGACUUUGUGAUACUAAAUAUGUAUUAAUGAUAUUAUGGUACCAAAUUAUC
rnacentral:lncRNA from 1 species